GAGAUGGGAGCACUGAGACAUCACAAUGGGCCGGGAGAGCCUUGGAAAGGUGGCACCUGGACCUCACCGGUGAGCCCAGUGGGAAUGCCGUCACAGGUAAGGCUUUGGUGAGUAGAUGGAGAAGGUGUGAGGCACAGCUGUGCCCUAUUCCCCCGGUCAGGACCCCACUCAGCGUCCCAAAAACUCAUUGUUUGGCUCUCUGCCCCAGCAGCACAGCGUUGCAGGGGAUGCUUGUGGAGCAGCCGAAGCAAAUCCCACGUGGGAAGGAGAGACAGCCAUGUGAGGUGGGUGUAGGAAACCAGGUCACCUGUGAAAUGCUGUACAGGCGAAGCAUGGCAGGAUGGACUUUGGGUGUAGGUGAAACUUGCGGUCUCCAGGGGCUUGUCUUGGUUGGUGUCUUGGUGUUUUGGUGAUGUGCAGGUCGCUAAGCGUGUUUGGUCCUCAGCAUCAGGGUGCCGGCUGCUUCGCACCAUCCAGCACAUUUGUAGGAUCAGAAGUUGAUUGUUAAGUGAUGGCAGGACAGUUUUGUGUGGGUUUUUUUAUUUCCUGACCCUACAAUAAGUUUGUGCCACGCAAGAGAUGAGCACGAAGACGAGGAAGAGCGCAGAAGGGAUGGGAAGGAGUUGCCUCAAGACGCGAUGUGCAGUAUCCCAGCGAUACCGGUGUGGGGUGAGAGAUCAAGGAGUGUCCAGUGCCAGAGUAGCAGACAGAGGAUGUUAAAGAGAGAGAGAGGCGGCGCGAGGGAUGCAUUUAUGUAUUAAUUUAUUGACAUAGGUAAGGAUGUCUUGGUGGUGGGGAUGGAGGUUAUGGCCUGAAGUAUGCCCUCCAUCCCUCUGGAUGUAGCAGCUGAGGUCCCUGUCCUUAGGCACAGGUUGGAAAUUGCUGAGGGUCAUGGAGGAACAUCCCCCUCAACCUGGAAAAGGGAGAUGGGGGUAUCCAUGGCUGGGCUGACAGUGGAUGGGGCUGCAUCUCCUCCCUGGUGCUCUGUGAUGGGGACAGUGCAGACAAGGCAUUGGGAUGUGCCAUGAGCCAGAGCAUUUGACCAUUUGUUUCUCUCUAGUGGAAGCAGGUGCACCCAGCAGAACCAGUAUUUUAAGAUGGGAAGCAUUAGGGAGGCCCAGAUUGUGGUGGGAUCCCCAGGUGCCACAUGCAAGAAGCCGGUGUUGCUUUGUGGCCCCAGUAUUUAUAUUGCAUCAGCCUUGGCUCCCUGAUUGGUUGGGUAUUUUUGGAAGAGGCCAGUCUUGAGUUUCUGUCUCAAGCACAGAGUUUCCUACAGUGAUCACCUGUGCUUGACUCACUGCAGGGAACACUGAGGAAAGCAGGCAGGGUUGUUUGCCCCUCCCAGAUCCCUUUCUUGGGGAGGCCAUUGGGUUUUGGGAAGCACUUACCUUUCUGCAGGGGGACAGCAGAGAUGUCCCUGAUGUGUGAGGUCACAGCAACUCAUAGUGGUGCUGGGCUGGAGCUGUUUGCUCAGCAGGGCAGCUUCUUGUGAGGUUCAGGGAUAAACUUUCAGGACUGGGCUUUUCAUUCUCAUGUCGAGGAAGGCGAAGGGAGGUCUCAAAGCGAGUGAGACUCUGAUAGGUCUGAUUCAGUCCACAACCUCCAGUCUCCUGGCAGCAGGUCCCACAUUAGAGGAGCUUGUUGAAUGUUUUCUCCCAGCUGAUGUGGUAGAAAGGUGGGGAAAGCUGAUAGGGUAGAACAGAAUCCCCCUGGUGCAGGGGGCACAGCCUGUUCUCCCCAGCCCCGUGGUUUUAGGGUGAGAUUACAGCCAUGUCAGGACGAUGCUGAGGGUCCCAUCUCCUUCUGGUCCUGGUCCUUGCCAUCUUUGUCCUUUGAUGAAGACAUCUGGUCGGUGUCACGCACUGUCAGAUCAUGACAGGAGCAAACCACCCUUGGGAGCGCGUCAUCCACAGAGGUGUCCCUUCACAGGGGUGGGGGGGUUAGCUUGUCAGCAAGUUACAAGAUUGUUACAAGAUGAUGGAGAAGAUGCUGGGAAUGGCUCAGGCAUGGAAAAGAGGCCCCUGAUCGCGCUGCUUCCGCUGAAGGUGAGUGAUGAGAGCAAAGACAGUCCUUACCCUGCAGGAGCUCUGUCAGCAGGUAUGUGCUCAUUGGCAGAUGGAGGAUGGAGGUGGGUGGGCCCUGGGACCCACUGGUGGAUUCCCAGGGGAGAUGCAUGGGUGGGGUGAGGGGUGGCCCAAACAGCAGCGGACCCCCAGCUGUGGGAGCUCCAAGUGUCACCAUCACAGGGGAUGAUCAAAAGAGGGUCUAACCAAGUGCUGGGUAAGACUACAGGACCCACUUGGGAGCCCUCCUGGCUCAGCACACCGGGUGCCAAGCACCACGUCCCUCCCUGGGGUGUGGGGGGUCCGUGAAGCAAAGCCCCGAAGGUACAAAGUUCGUCAAACUUUAUUGAUACACUGCACAAUCACAACCAUCUCUUAUUCUUGCCGAAUUAGAAAAGGUUACAACUACAAUGUAACAUGCACAAAUCUCAGGUAGUAUAGCCACCCUUGGAAUACAAUGAUCGACAGAAACUCAAGACUGGCCGUCGUGGCCAUCAGCAGGAGAGACCCAGGGGCCACGCUGCCCCCGCCCUGGGCGCCCAGCCACCCCCCCCAGGCAUCCAAACAUGGAGAGCAGCGGUCACAAAGGGGUCUGACACCCAGCGGGGUCGGCCUCCAGACAGCCAACACGUUCCUCACAAUGGCACGUUACAUGGCACGAGAAAGUCGAACGCUGUCCCGGCAGAGGACAGGGGAGCUGAGCCCACCUGGCCCAGGGAGGAGGAGGAGGAUGGGAUGGGGGGCAGCCCCGGUGCCAGGUCCGCCAGCCUCGGUGUGCGUCGUGGCGUCUCGUCGUCGCCGCCGCUCUCUGAUAUGCCGUGGCCUCUGGCCCUGUGGUUCUGCAGCGUUUCUGCUGCAGGGACGGAGAAAUUUGGGGCUGACCCAGGAAGGGGCAGGGGGAGGCAGCAGGGGGGCUGUUGUGGGGCAGUGCGGACCACUGAAGGCAUCGGGGCAAGGCGUCUCCUGCACCCAAGGGCACUCUUGGAGCGGGCGCGUGGGGAAGGAUGUGCGUGUGUCGCUGGCUGAGGACGGUGCCAUCCCCGCUCAGUAAACAUGCCCAGGAGACGACUCAGACUGCUGCCAGUGCCACCUUCCCGGGAUGCCAGUGGAGAUGCAGAGCAGCACCGCAGGGACCGCAGGACGCGGACUCACCCAGUCAGUGCCGGAUCCCCGUCCACCAGGUAACCCGCGUGUCCCGCCAGCACCAGGGCAGCCCCGGGCCAGGGGGGGUUUGCCCAUCAGCCGUGGUACAUGGUGAACAUCCAGGAUGGGGGCUGGGAGCAUCCACUGAGAUUCUGUAGCAGGUCCCGGGCAGCCCGUUGGGAGCAGGGAUGAGGACGGGCACAGCUGCAUAGAGGACGGGGUGGUGGCCCAUCAUGGCCUCUGGCUUGGGCUGGUUUUUUCCAUCCUGUGUGCUAAGGACUGUCACCCCAGCUUCCUCACAGCCACACAAAGCAGGAGGAUUGGGCAGCAGCGGAGUCUGCACAGGGAAGACAGCGUGUGAGUGGCCAUUGCUCUUAAGUCAUCUCACUUAUGGAGGGAGAAAGGAGGGAAAAGGCACAGGGAUGCGGCGGGUCAGGACAGGGGAUGCUCUGUGUGCUUGCUCAGUGCCUUGCUGUAAUCAGGUCUCCCUGUCACAGCAACAGGGUCUGGUGCGAGAUGUGACUUUUCAGGAGCAGGAUGGGAGUGUUCAUCCCCAGACUGUGGCCCCAAAGCAUUCCUGGGUGGCCAGGGAGCGUCGGGAGGGCUCGGGGCUGCCACAGUGUACCAGGUGAGGGGGUCCAUGGUGCACGGUGCCAUCAGGAGCACAAUUCCAUAUGCAGGGAGGUGAUGUGGCCACCACCACAGGCAGCUCCCAGAGUGGCUGGAAGGGCAGAGUCUGGGUGCAUCCAUUUUGGUGUCGCGGGCGUGUCACAGCAGGGAGGAUCAGAGCCGUUCUUGUCCCUGCCGUGCCAGAGCAGUAAAUCGGUGGAGCCUGAGCUGCCUCCACAGGGUUGAGCACAUCAGACUUUCCUCAGGCAGGGGCACGUGAUGGGCAUGAGAGAAGGCAGCACGAGGGUGUUGCAGCUCAGGGCCCUCAGAAAGGCAGGGAUGCAGACGAUCACGAGCGUCAGAGCCGCAGCAAAAGGGCCUUGUCAGCUGGUGUUUCGCUGUGUGGUUCAGAGCCUCUGCCCCGCCUUGGUGGUGCUGUGCUUUUGAUGUGCAGCUUGGAAAGUGCUUGGAAAACAAGCCCAGAGGAACUCCCCCAAAAAAAGUGCUGGCAACACAGCAGGGCAACAGCCACAGGGCAGCCCCUGCCAUCAUAGGGACAGCAGCAGAGCGGGCAGGGGCCUGGAGCAAGAAGGGGUGAUGGCCUGGCUAUCUGAUGCAGCCAGAAGGCUCUAGUCCCCAUGAGGGGCUGGCAUCAUCCCCAGGGCUCACAUUCCUGGGAGAGCAGCCUCGUGCCCUCGGGAAGGUGAGGGGGUUUAUUGGGAAGCAGAGGGGUACGAUGUUAGCUGAGAGAAAGAGUAGUGGGAAGUGCCUGACCCUUGAAGGACAACUGGUUGUGUCCCCUGACCCUCUCCAAAAGGGCCAGCGAGCGUCACGUCAGGAGCAGAGGCAGAUGAGGGGAGGCCAGUGACAUCGGGGGGUGCUUAGGGAGGAGCUUUGGCGACAAGAACUGACAUUCAGGACCAAGAGGGCUGAAGGCAGAGCCAGGGGGCUUCAACCUUGGGGUCUUUUUGGGCAUAGGCGGCUUAGUGAGACGACGAGACGGACAUCCCCGGUGAAGGCUCUGGGCGGCACCUGCCCCGACAGCUCCACGGCCCCCGCGCCGGAGACGAGGAGCACCGUCCGUGCCGGGCCGGGCCGCGUCCCCGGGGCGGCGGUGGCGGGUGACAGUCUGGUGGCACGUGGUGGGGUCUGUACAGCGUAACUGGCGGCGAGAACGAUCCCGGCACGUGGGAGACGGGGCCAUCCUCGGACGCUCGGCACCGCCGCCCGUCCUCCGGCGCAUCGCCCGUCCCGCGGAGAGGAGUCCCCGGGCGGCGCGGCGGGCGGAGCCCGUGGCGGGGGGAGAGGCGCGGUGGAGCCUCCCGGGACCCUCCGCUCCCUUAUCAAAAGUCGAGGAGGAGGAGGCGAGCGAGGAGGGUGGCCCAGAGGCAGAGGCCGGCGGCCACCCGGGACGCCGCGUUGCCGCCGUCGUGCACCGCUCCGGGCCCUGGGCAGGGGAGAGGAGAGACAGACAAAAGGACAGCGGUGAGGUAGGUCAGUGGAGAUCGUGCAGGAAAACCCACCUCCCCACCAUCCCCGCAGUUCCCUGUCCCCUUCACAUCCCACCCCCUCGGCUGACACAGGGUGUUGUGCACUUUGAGGAGUGGGGGGUUUGUCGGUUGUUUGGAGAGCGUUGUUGGUGUUGAGGAGUUGUUGAGGAGGCAGGCAGAGAGCUUGAGGAGCAUUUUGGGGAGGCACAGUCCUUGUCUGAGGAGGAGGAGGAUGCUCUGGGCAGGUGCCAGUCCACCCCACCAUGCUUGGAAGUUGCCCCUCCUUGGAGAGUCGUGGAGUCUCAGGUACACGGGUGCAUUUUGGGGUUGCAUCACUGGGUGUUUCUUGGCAGGCAGGCCAGGCUGGGAGGAGGCUGGUCAUCCGGGUUUGUGGCUGGAGCAGAGGUUUGCUGCAUGUUCUUGGAGGAGGGCUGUUAUUUGGGAAAGAUUUGGGCUGCAGGGCACACAAGGGGCCAGUCAGGAUGAGAUGAGACUGCUGAGCAGAGUGAGGGAAGUGGAGCAGACACAGGUCUGCCUGGACUCCCUAAGCCUGGGGAGAGGUUUUUUGGGAAGCUGCAGGUCUGAGCCCCAGUAGUAGAAUUCUGAAAGGGAAGAAAUAGAGAAACAGGUGCUGAGCUGUCUUAGCAUCGAAGCUCAGGGCAUAGACAAAGUGUGAAGUAAAUGGGAUUUUUAUCCAAUUAUGAAUAUGCUCUCAAGCCUGCAGUCACCCACCUGGAAUGGGUUCAUCACAGAAUCAGUGGAAGGUUUGGAUUGGAAGGGACCUUAAAAUUCAUCUCAUUCCAAUCCCUACCAUGGGCAGGGACACCUUCCACUAGACCAGGUUGCUCCAAGCCCCAUCCAACCUGACCUUGGACACUUCCAGGGAUGGGGCAGCCACAGCUUCUCUGGGCAACCUGUGCCAGGGCCUGCCCACCCUCACAGGGAACAAUUUCUCUCCUAUAUCCAAUCUAAAUGCACCUUCAGUUUAAAUCCAUUUCUCUUUGUCUUAUCCCUCCAUGCCCUCAUCCAAAGUCCCUCCCCAGAUCUCCUGUAGCCUCUUCCAACUGAAAUAAUUCUGUGAUCUAAGAAAUUAUAUCCAGGUACACUAAAUUCUGUAGGAUGGUGUCACUCCUUGUCUUUUUAUCUACUGAUUUUUUUUUUUUUGUGAACAUUUAUCUUAUUUCAGGAAGAGGCAAAGGAGAGUCUAAGAUGUUAAAUCCAAGCCCUGCCAGAAGGUAAAGAAAAUGAUGGGAAGAUUUGAGUGAUGAGCAAGAAGCUGUGUCAUGCCCAUGCUCAAACAAAAUUGAUUGUAAGAGCACAUGAUAAUACAAGAGGUGUAGAACUGCUCUGCCAUAAUCAGACAUUUCCUUGCUGAAUAGACCUUGUGAUAUAAAAGGUGGAACCCCCAGCUAUUUGUUAGAGGCAAGUAGAGCCUUGCAGGUAGAAUGGAAAAGGGCUUUUGAGCUUGGUUCUCCCUCAGAUCUGUUGCUGCUCCCUCUUCUUUCUUUUUAUCCCCUCAAACUAAUGGCAGCACAUGAUGCAAAUCUAUAUUAAAAAAAAAAAAAAGAAAAUCUAUGCAGAUUUAAUAUUAAAUGCUGCUAAGACUUAACCUUUCAUGUAUUUACACCUGCUCAAAUCCUGCUAAAUCUGUACCUUUCUCUAACAGUUUAUCUAUACCUUUAUCUAUAGAUGUGGAUUUUUAAUGUGUGACUAAUUCUCAUUACUGCUUUCUAGUUCACAGUUCUGCUCUGGUUAUUGGCUUUGAUUUAAUGAUGCUUUUUAGAAAUCUCAUAAUCUACUCUAAAGCAAUCACAUCCUGGUUGAGUUGGAGAGUUCCCAAAUAGAUAAGUCAGAGAGGAAAUAAACUGAAAUACUGGGUCAUAACCAGAAAAGAAAAAAACCACCAAUAUUUUCUCUUAACUCUAUUCUUUGCUGAGAGAGGAUUUAUCCUGGUGUCAGACAGCCUGGCCUUGUAAAGAUACUCUACAGAAGAGACAAGCAGAAAGAUACGGGGACAAAAUGAAGUAGUAAUUAGAGAUGAUCAUUAAAUUUAGGCAGAUAUUUCAUUUCAUCAUGCGCCUCCUGUGUGUCCUGUGAACUGCCACAUUAGAUGGGAAGAGGAUGGCUCCCACCAGGACAGGGAGAGGAGCUCAGGAGUUCAACUGAACUUCCCAGCAAGUAUUUUGGCUCUGCUUUGCUAGAACCUCUGUGCCUGGCCACUGAGGUGUGAGUGUACCUGGAUUCUGGCUGUCCCCUACUCAGCUUAUUUAUUACUGCAGUUAUUUAUUGUUGCUUGCUUUUAUUUUGUUCUUCUUGAUUUAUUUUGUGUCAUCUUUGCUCCCCAUUUCCUUCCUUCUCCAGAAGGCAACCUCAGACUUUGAGACCUUGACUCAAGUCAAGAUGGCAAGACUGGGAUUUUGUCUCUCUCAUAAAACCUUGACUACAAAGGUAAGACAGGAAUCAGUGGGUCUGUUGAUGGGUGGGGUUUUCUUAGCCUGUGUUGGAGGCACUGUCAAUUCCAGUGGGAGCCAUAGGAAUGGCCCAAAUGCUUACAGAGCUAAGCAGUCCCUUGACAUGCACCAAAAAAUAGCUUGUCCUUUCUUUUCCUGCCUCCUUUCUGUCCCAGGAAAGAACUCCCAUGCCCUUCCACUUCCAUCCUCCCCGUUUCAGGCAACAUCCAGCUUCCUCCAGGUGAGACAGAGGCAUGUGGAGAUGAAGAAUUUAGAACCUCUCUCUCACUGCUUUUCACUUUCAGGACCUGAAGGGAAGGGAACGUGCCCACACCCUUCUGGUGCUGCUGGAGCCCCUCUUUCUGAGGGGGCUCAGGAAAAGGCAACAGCUGCUCCCCACUUCUCCUGCUCCACAACAGCAAUUAGUGAGGAAGAGUCUGUCCAGUGAUUCAUGUCUGAGGACAUAAGGAAGCCUCGGGGACCGGCUGGGGGGAAGCCUGUGCAGUGACUCACGUCUGAGGGGAUACGUGUCUAGAGGAAGUCUUGGCAACCUCCCCAGGAUGAGAUUUUCCUGACAUUUUCCCUCAGGAAGAAGGAGAAGAAGAGAACACCAAUAAAUACUAAGGAAGAAAGAAGAAAUCCUACUUCAGCUCUGGCUUUCAACACCAAGAAGUGAAGGAAGCUCUUCCCCCUCACUCCAAAGGUGCCCAAACCUCAGCCCUACACCACAACCGCUGCCCACCUCGUACCAGCACUCCCCAGUUUGAGACUCGUGGCCAAUUUAGGUCAAGUUUAUUAAAGACUAAUCAUUUACCUGUGUAUGAAUGGUAAUUAAAGCCUAACCCUGGGAGGUCACGUGUGCUGUUGAUGAUUGUCAGUCCAGUAAA